CGAGAAGCAAUCGAAAUUACUGCGCAUAACCGACCCUAAGGUGAGUUAGCAUUCCGUCAUAGGCAAAAUAGGGAACAUGGAUUAUUUUUUAUUUAUUUUGCCUCGAGAAGCAAUCGAAAUUGCUGCGCAUAACCGACCCUAAGGUGAGUUAGCAUUCCGUCAUAGGCACAAUAGGGAACAUGGAUUAUUUUUUUUUUAUUUUGCAUCGAGAAGCAAUCGAAAUUGCUGCGCAUAACCGACCCUAAGGUGAGUUAGCAUUCCGUCAUAGGCAAAAUAGGGAACAUGGAUUAUUUUUUUUUUAU
rnacentral:lncRNA from 1 species